GACAUAUUUAUUGUACAAAGACUUCUUCCAAUUCUGGAAGAGUACUGCCAUCUUCUUCAUAGUCCAGUCAUAAAUUCGCACCUUCAACUCUUCAUCGUUGGUGUCGAAGGUGAAAACGUCUGUGACGGCUUUCCAAACUAACUCCUUGUCACGAUCAGAGACAAAACUGAUCUCAGGAGCACCUCGCUUCUCUCUCCAUUCACGACAACUGAUCGGUAUUUGAUCUCUCACAAGAUAUCCACAGUGAUUAACAUAUUUAUUUGCAUGCUCACCAAGUGGUCUGCCUGUAGCUAUCUCAAACUCAGAGAUUACAUAGCGGCCCUCCAACGGCUUCUUUGGCCCUCAUGGAGGUACGCUUCUCCCCGUAGAGGUCGAUCCAGAAGGCUACACGUACAUAUAGAAACAAAAAUACUAAAUUAAUAACCAAGUAAUAAGUCUAAAACCUAAUGUAAGAGAUGCAUUAUUUAUAUAUGUUUAUAUUUACAUACCUCGCCAGUAUUUUCUUCUUGUUGCACGACAAGUUGUUGCUCAGGGGCAUUGCCCUCUUGUUGCUCAGGGGCAUUGCCCUCUUGUUGCUCAGUAGGAUUGCCUUGCAUGAUGUCGUGGUAAUCAACGAAGUACUGACUACCGUCGUCGAUUAUAUUUUGAAUGGCAGCUUCCAUAUAAUCAGGAUCAUCAUGAGGAC
rnacentral:lncRNA from 1 species